GAUGUUGAUGCAUAUCAUGUAUUUGCACCAUCACCGCAGGGAGGAAAUAACACUCAGGGAUUGCAACUACGCGUUGAUGUGGCCUCUCCCGAGAAUGAGAUUGAUGAAUGAUGUGUAACUAUACUUUUUGAACGAGACAUUAAGUGGCUGUUCCAACUUGAAAAUUCUGCAUAUGUAUGUUACAAGCAAUUAAUAAUCUGUUACAACUUAUUGACGAGGUUGUACAGGCACCAUUGAUGUACGAGGAUCUUUGUAUUACGAGGAUGAGUAUUACGGAUA